UUCGAUCGGAUAUUGAUUGCGCAAAUUAGUGUCAGCAUUUAAGUGUGACCCCCGGGUUUAAACAUCGCAUGGGUGACAAAGAUGUCAGAUAAGCAAAGUCACCUUCACAAUUUCCCCGCUUGGUGGAUUCCUGAACUGGCAAGCAUCCUUGACACCCAGGAAAUCAUAUAGGAGUACAUACUUAUAUGUGCAUAUAGGUGCAUAUAAUUCAAAUCUUAUCUUACCGUUUUGUUAUUAUUAUGUUUUAAUUUCAUAUGAUUUCUCUGCAAUAUAUUUCUAAAAUUAAGCAAUUAUGUAAGACGUAUCAUUUAUGCUUUAUUUUUAAGAUCUUGUAAUAUUGCACAAAUGCAUGUGAUUAAAAAGUUAAAUAAAAAAAUUUAAUAAAUAGCAAAAUCCAUUUGGCUAAUGUAAAAUAUUCGUUAUCAUUGC